GACGAACGCUGGCGGCGUGCUUAACACAUGCAAGUCGAACGGAAAGGCCCUGCUUUCGUGGGGUGCUCGAGUGGCGAACGGGUGAGUAACACGUGAGUAACCUGCCCUUGACUUUGGGAUAACUUCAGGAAACUGGGGCUAAUACCGGAUAGGAGCUCCUGCUGCAUGGUGGGGGUUGGAAAGUUUCGGCGGUUGGGGAUGGACUCGCGGCUUAUCAGCUUGUUGGUGGGGUAGUGGCUUACCAAGGCUUUGACGGGUAGCCGGCCUGAGAGGGUGACCGGCCACAUUGGGACUGAGAUACGGCCCAGACUCCUACGGGAGGCAGCAGUGGGGAAUAUUGCACAAUGGGCGGAAGCCUGAUGCAGCAACGCCGCGUGCGGGAUGACGGCCUUCGGGUUGUAAACCGCUUUCGCCUGUGACGAAGCGUGAGUGACGGUAAUGGGGAAAGAAGCACCGGCUAACUACGU
rnacentral:rRNA from 1 species